rnacentral:misc_RNA from 1 species
GUACCCUCAAGCCUUGCUUGGUGUUGGGCGUCUUGUCUUGCGAGACUCGCCUUAAAACAAUUGGCAGCCGGCAUACUGGUUUUGAAGCGCAGCACAAAUUGCACUUCUACCGUAGAAUGCUAGGCCUCCAUAAAGCGUACUUUUUUCAAC